UAAUACCAACCCCCCGAGUGGUAGGGAUGAUUAUUUGGCUUAAAGCGUUCGUAGCCGGCUUGGAAAGUCUUCCAUUAAAUCCAGCGUUCAAGCGUUGGGCUGUGGAAGAAACUUUCAAGCUAGGAGGCGGAAGAGGUCGACGGUAUUCCUAGGGGAGGGGUGAAAUCCUAUAAUCCUAGGAGGACCACCAGUGGCGAAGGCGGUCGACCAGUACGCGCUCGACGGUGAGGGACGAAAGCUGGGGGAGCGAACCGGAUUAGAUACCCGGGUAGUCCCAGCUGUAAACUAUGCAGGCUAGGUGUUGAAACGGCUACGAGCCAUUUCAGUGCCGCAGGGAAACCGUUAAGCCUGCCGCCUGGGGAGUACGACCGCAAGGUUG
rnacentral:rRNA from 1 species